GUCUAUGGCCACGCCAUCCUGAACAAGCCUGAUGUCUGAUCUCGGAAGCUAAGCAGGGUCGGGCCUGGUUAGUACUUGGAUAGGAGACCACCUAGGAAGAACAGGUGCUGUAAGCA
rnacentral:rRNA from 1 species